GUAAUACUCGCUCACUCUUGACGGAAAAGAGAUACACCACUCCGGUCAUUGACAACUUGCCGUUCCCUACGAUCCUCUCCUUUCUAUGUCUCAAAUGUCGCAGUUUUCAUUGUUCAGAAUUUGGUAUGUACAUCAACUGCUACUUAUUGAACACAUCAAUCGCUUCACAGUGAUUGGUUAUUCAGAAAAGGAGAAGGUAUCUUCUAUUGAAUAUUAGUUGAUUAAAAUAACUAUGACAAGAUAAAGACUCUUAGAUAGAUGUUUGCACAAAAAUAAUUUGGCACAAUAUUAAAAAUCUCAUAAUUGAAAUUGAUUGCAAACAUACUUUGUUCUAUACAUGCUUUCCAGGUUGUUUCAUUUAAAAGUUUCCCCUAUUUAUAUUUAGAUUGUAUCAAGAAGAUUAGCAUGUGUUUUUGUUAAAACAUCUAAAAGGAUGGUGGAUUACUUGUAGAAGUAUAUGAAUUAUAAAGUAAUCAUACAUGUAGCCCAAGAAGCAUAUGUUGCUGACAUGAUUUCUGGUUAGCAUGAUCCUUGGUUAUCAACUUUUGAAAGAAUAUAUGCUCAUUACAUGAAGCAGUUUCUAUAUUAGUGAAUAUGGUACUCAAGUCAGAGAAUCUUAGCAGUGAUUGUGAUUUUUCACGUAUAAAAAGUUUUUUACACCUCAAAGAGUGGGAUCCAAAGGACUGUUUUCUUGAGGAUUCUGUGUUCAAACUGUUGAGAUAAUUCCUAGGAAAUGGUUGCAAAUUUGGAGUGAAAUUCAUGUAGUGUUUUGUCUACAAUUGGUGUCUGUAAUGCGGUAUUCUAUUGGACUUUGCAUUGUUUCUUUGGUUGAGAUGGAAGUUGCCAACAAUAAUGAGGCCUUUUCGGGUUUCAAUGCAGUAGUGUUUGUUGGUGAUGAUAUGCUUGGUAACUUCUAGUUUUACGGUGUUCAUAAUGGGCAUAGCUGCUAUGGCUGAUUUUUGUAGGCUUAUUGGUGUUUGCAGGUACAUUGAUAACAUGGAAAAUACAACAUCAUUUCAGCUCGUUUUGUGUGUAGUUUAGGCCUAAACUCUCUGGUUUUGUCUAUGUUAUGCUGGGUUGUAUGGCUAUGUUUCAGGUACACAGCAAUAAAGGCCUUCAUGCGCAAAAAUGACGGAAUUCAGUAAGAAAACAAAGAAGGAAAGAAGUCUUGAGGAAUUCUGCUUCAGGGUGACGGCCGUCACACCCUGUGACGUGUUGAUCGUCACCCUCCAACUCUCGACCUGCCCAAGCCGUCACCACCCGUGACGAGCAGAUCGUCACACCCUGUGACGUCCGUCACGGGUUCGGAAGAAGCAGUCUCCCCCAUUAUCUGAAACUGUUUCCGGUUUUCUCUCCCACUCGCUCCACCUGCAGAAGCACGAUCAGAAGCACUUCAGAGGAGAUUUUUCCCUAUAAAUAGACCUGAAGAACUCAGAAAGAAGAAAAGAAGCUUUUAGAGAGAAACUGUGCUAUUUAGAAAACUGCUUAUGUAAUUCAAGCUUUUUGUUUUAGCUAUCGUACAAUCCUUACAACUUCAGAAUCUUUGUGAAUUGCAAUUUUAUUUAAGGAGUCCUUAUUUUUAUUUGAUCUCAA